rnacentral:misc_RNA from 1 species
GAUGAAGAACGCAGCGAAAUGCGAUAAGUAAUGUGAAUUGCAGAAUUCAGUGAAUCAUCGAAUCUUUGAACGCACAUUGCGCCCGCCAGCAUUCUGGCGGGCAUGCCUGUUCGAGCGUCAUUUCAACCCUCAAGCUCUGCUUGGUGUUGGGGCCCUACGGUUGACGUAGGCCCUUAAAGGUAGUGGCGGACCCUCUCGGAGCCUCCUUUGCGUAGUAACUAACGUCUCGCAUUGGGAUUCGGAGGGACUCUUGCCGUAAAACCCCCAAAUUUUCUAAUGGUUGACCUCGGAUCAGGUAGGAAUACCCGCUGAACUUAAGCAUAUCAUAAGCGGAGGA